rnacentral:RNase_P_RNA from 1 species
GAGGAAAGUCCGGACUCCUUAUAGAAAAAGAUUGUUGGAUAAAUUUCAAUAUAAGUAAUUAUGAGGAUAGUGCCACAGAAAAAUACCGCCUUAAUAUACUGAUAUGGGUAAGGGUGCAAAGGUGUAUUAAGAGUGCACCAGUAGUAUUGUUGAAAUACUUGCUUGGUAAACCCCAUCUAGGAGAAAAGAGGUAUGGAUGAUUAUCUAUAAAUCAAUUCAUGAUUGUUUACUUGUAACUGAAUACCGCAUAAAGUAACAAGUAUUUAUAUGUUACUUUAGAUUAAUAACUACCCUUUCUCCAGCUUAUGGCGGAAGAACAGAAUCCGGCUUAU